rnacentral:rRNA from 1 species
AACGAACGCUGGCGGCAUGCCUAACACAUGCAAGUCGAACGAGACCUUCGGGUCUAGUGGCGCACGGGUGCGUAACGCGUGGGAAUCUGCCCUUGGGUUCGGGAUAACAGUUGGAAACGACUGCUAAUACCGGAUGAUGUCUUCGGACCAAAGAUUUAUCGCCCAAGGAUGAGCCCGCGUAGGAUUAGCUUGUUGGUGAGGUAAGAGCUCACCAAGGCGACGAUCCUUAGCUGGUCUGAGAGGAUGAUCAGCCACACUGGGACUGAGACACGGCCCAGACUCGUACGGGAGGCAGCAGUGGGGAAUAUGGGACAGUGGGCGAAAGCCUGCUCCAGCAAUGACGCGUGAGUGAUGAAGGCCUUAGGGUUGUAAAGCUCUCUUACCCGGGAUGAUAAUGGCAGUACCGGGAGAAUAAGCCCCGGCUAACUCCGUGCCAGCCGCCGCAGUAA